rnacentral:rRNA from 1 species
UACAGAGGUCUCAAGCGUUGUUCGGAUUCAUUGGGCGUAAAGGGUGUGUAGGUGGCGCCGUAAGUCGGGUGUGAAAUUUCGGAGCUUAACUCCGAACUGCAUUCGAUACUGCGGUGCUUGAGGACUGGAGAGGAGACUGGAAUUCAUGGUGUAGCAGUGAAAUGCGUAGAGAUCAUGAGGAAGACCAGUGGCGAAGGCGGGUCUCUGGACAGUUCCUGACACUGAGACACGAAGGCCAGGGGAGCAAACGGG